rnacentral:rRNA from 1 species
UACGUAGGGGGCUAGCGUUGUCCGGAUUUAUUGGGCGUAAAGAGCGUGUAGGCGGCCAAGUAGGUCCGGUGCGAAAACUCGAGGCUUAACCUCGAGAUGUCAUCGGAAACCAUUUGGCUAGAGUCCGGAAGAGGAAAGUGGAAUUCCUGGUGUAGCGGUGAAAUGCGCAGAUAUCAGGAAGAACACCAAUGGCGAAGGCAGCUUUCUGGGACGGUACUGACGCUGAGACGCGAAAGCGUGGGGAGCGAACAGG